rnacentral:lncRNA from 1 species
GCCCCAGCCUCCACGGUGACCGGCUACCCUGUGACAUCAGGCGCCCAGCACAGGGCCUGGACGCGGGUGCAGGAGAGGGAGUCAGGGAACGGGGAGGAGCAGGGGUCCCCACUGUGUGCCUGGUGCGACAAAAGGCGAGCUGCAGAGAGGUCGGGAGGAGCCGGCAAACACAAGGAUGCCCACCGGGCGCGGAGGGCCUGGGCUGGAGGAGCAUUUAGGAUGCAGAAUCGCGGGAACCUGGCAUGGAGAGAGAGGCCAAGGACUUUUGGCUUGGGCCAGGGCUGUUUGGAGAUGCUUUCAACAAGGGGAAGAAGAUUGGGCACAGAAAAUGUAGACUGAAUGGAACACUGAGGCAGGAGCAGGAUUAGAAGAAUUGCUGAGAAGAAGCAUGCUUCCCAACUCUGAG